GACGAACGCUGGCGGCGUGCUUAACACAUGCAAGUCGAACGGAAAGACCCGGCUCUUGUGGCGUGCUCGAGUGGCGAACGGGUGAGUAACACGCGAGUAACCUGCCCUUGACUUUGGGAUAACUUCAGGAAACUGGGGCUCAUACCGGAGAGGAUCUCCUGCUGCAUGGUGGGGGUUGGAAAGUUUCGGCGGUUGGGGAUGGACUCGCGGCUUAUCAGCUGGUUGGUGGGGUAGUGGCUUACCAAGGCUUUGACGGGUAGCCGGCCUGGGAGGGUGACCGGCCACAUUGGGACUGAGAUACGGCCCAGACUCCUACGGGAGGCAGCAGUGGGGAAUAUUGCACAAUGGGCGGAAGCCUGAUGCAGCAAUGCCGCGUGCGGGAUGACGGGCUUCGGGUGAUAAACCGAUUUCGACUGUGCCAAAGCGUGCGUGACGGUAAUGGGUAAAGAAGCACCGGCUAACUACGUG
rnacentral:rRNA from 1 species